AAUUCGAUGAUACGCGAGGAACCUUACCUGGGCUUAAAUGUAGAGUGCAUUUUUUAGAGAUAGAAAUUCCCUUCGGGGGCUUUUCUGCAAGGUGCUGCAUGGUUGUCGUCAGCUCGUGCCGUGAGGUGUCGGGUUAAGUCCCAUAACGAGCGCAACCCUUAUCGUUAGUUGCCAUCUGGUAAUGCAGGGGACUCUAGCGAAACUGCCACCGUAAGGUGAGAGGAAGUGGGAUGACGUCAAAUCAGCACGGCCCUUAUGUCCAGGGCUACACACGUGUUACAAUGGUCGGUACAGAGGGCAGCUACCUGGUGACAGGAUGCUAAUCUCGAAAACCGGUCUCAGUUCGGAUCGAAGUCUGCAACUCGACUACGUGAAGUCGGAAUCGCUAGUAAUCGCAGAUCAGCAUGCUGCGGUGAAUACGUUCCCGGGUCUU
rnacentral:rRNA from 1 species